UGGGCGGGCGCUGGGCGCAUCAGCCCCGGAGAACGCAGAACUCAUUUCCUGCCAGCGGGGCUGAGCCGCGCUCCGAGCCCGGCCCCUGCUGCGAACUCCAGCCCUGAACUCCUCUGAACCUCCCUGGCAGUUUCCGUACUCUUCGGCUUUGCCGUAGAAAAGCCUCCUUGCUAAUCCGAGCGCUGGGUGUGAAAAAUGCGGAUUUUAUGAUUGGUUUUUCGCAACUAUUGAAAUGAAUAUUCCCUGAAGACGCCGUCAGGAUUCAGAGGAAGAAGCUGACACUGCCCAGACAGAAUCCUGUGUUUGAAUGGAAUUUAUGCAUCAUGGAUGAGGUGUAUGAAUAUGCAACAGGCUGUUGCUUUUAAGGGUUAAUCCUCUGUUAACGUGGGUCCUUUUUCGGGCUUGUUCUGCCCAGAAAGAGGUACCUGGACUGUCUGUGACUCUUUGUUUUUAUUGUCUCAUAUUGUCCUAAUCCUAAUUGUCCAAAUUUUUAUUACUCUAAUUAUAUUACUAUUUCUAUAACCGUUUUAUUUCUAUUAAACUUUUAAAA